rnacentral:rRNA from 1 species
GAUGAACGCUGGCGGCGUGCCUAAUACAUGCAAGUCGAGCGAACGGACGAGAAGCUUGCUUCUCUGAUGUUAGCGGCGGACGGGUGAGUAACACGUGGAUAACCUACCUAUAAGACUGGGAUAACUUCGGGAAACCGGAGCUAAUACCGGAUGAUAUUUUGAACCGCAUGGUUCAAAAGUGAAAGACGGUCUUGCUGUCACUUAUAGAUGGAUCCGCGCUGCAUUAGCUAGUUGGUAAGGUAACGGCUUACCAAGGCAACGAUGCAUAGCCGACCUGAGAGGGUGAUCGGCCACACUGGAACUGAGACACGGUCAAGACGCCUACGGGAGGCAGCAGUAGGGAAUCUUCCGCAAUGGGCGAAAGCCUGACGGAGCAACGCCGCGUGAGUGAUGAAGGUCUUCGGAUCGUAAAACUCUGUUAUUAGGGAAGAACAGAUGUGUAAGUAACUGUGCACAUCUUGACGGUACCUAAUCAGAAAGCCACGGCUAACUACGUG